rnacentral:tRNA from 1 species
GGAAGGGUGGGUGAGUGGCUGAAACCAACAGUUUGCUAAACUGUCCAGGGGGUAACCUCUGCGCGAGUUCGAAUCUCGCCCCUUCCGCAA